UCCCUGGUGGUCCAGUGGGUAAGACUCUGUAUUCCUAAUGCAGGAGACCCAGGUUCAGUCCCUGGUCAGGGAA